CGCUGUCUCUCCACGUCCUCGCGACGGCGGCUGCGCUGGCUCCCCGUCACCUCGGUCGCUGUGGAGCUCCGCGAGGCCACUGCCGGGGGCGGAGACUCGCUCCGUGUCACCAAGACGCCACAGCCUGGAUCCAGUGUUAAGUUCAGCGUGGAGGUGCCUACUUCCAUCAUUCACGAGUGCUACCAAUCCACGCUACAGGAGUACGCCAAACGUGUUAAGGUUCCUGGAUUUUGGCCUGGGAAGACCAUUCCAGAAAACGUUCUUAUAAACUAUGUAGGACCGCAACAUGUACAGGAUGCCACGAUUGAGCUAUCUUAAAACAUACGCUUCCUCAAGCACUGUCCUC